rnacentral:ncRNA from 1 species
UUGCUGAGCUUGACUCCAGUCUGACACAGUGAAGAGACUUAAGAGAUGUAUAAGUGGGAGGUAACCUCCACCCACACCCUUGCAAAGGGGUGGACUGGAGCAGCCUUUUGUCCACCUGUGAUACUACUACUUUUACUGUUUUUUCACUGACCCAGUAAGGGGAUUGAAGGGGGUGACUCCCAAGGGACUCUUGCUUCUGGCUGCAAGCACUCAGUCACACCAGCCAGGCAUAACUCUAAGGGGAGUGCCAGGUAGGAAGUUGAACUGUUACUGUACACCUGUGAAACAAUGUAGAUAUCCCAAGUCAAGCUCAGGGAGGACAGAAAGCUCCCAUGGAGCAGAAGAGCAAAAGCUUACCUGAUCUUGAUUUUCAACAUGAACACAGACUUUGAAAGCAGGGACACACAUACAUACGCAAAUAAUGAUGAUGAUAAUAAUAACAACAAUAACUACUUCAUGGGAGAAGCAGAGGGAAGAUAAGGGACUCACGGUCCUGAGAGAUGGAGAACUCAGGUACUACCUGGAAAAUCUUCCAUGGACACUCUUAGGACAGCAGAAACUGGAGGGAAUACAGAAGGCUCUAAUUUGUGAAUACAAGAGAACUGUGAGAAGUUAUAGAGUUACUGCAA